rnacentral:rRNA from 1 species
GACGAACGCUGGCGGCGUGCUUAACACAUGCAAGUCACGGGGGCCCGCAAGGGCAACCGGCGAACGGGUGCGUAACACGUGAACAACCUGCCCUCGUGUGGGGGACAGCCAUGCUAACGCGUGGGUAAUCCCGCAUACGGUCCUUUGGGGGAGUCCCUGGGGGAAGAAAGCUCCGGCGCACGGGGAGGGUUCGCGGCCUAUCAGCUAGUUGGGGGGGUAAUGGCCCACCAAGGCGACGACGGGUAGCUGGUCUGAGAGGAUGGCCAGCCACAUUGGGACUGAGAGACGGCCCAGACUCCUACGGGAGGCAGCAGUGGGGAAUCUUGCGCAAUGGCCGAAAGGCUGACGCAGCGACGCCGCGUGUGGGAGGACGCC